rnacentral:sRNA from 1 species
UGUAUCUGAAGCCUGGCGAGGAUGAGAACCUCCGGGGGCAAGAGGUUCGACCCGAGCGAAGCGAGAGAACGUUGCGUCAGCAACGGCCCGCAGGGCGAGCCAUCCUCUAUCACCGGCAG